UUGAACGCUGGCGGCAUGCUUUACACAUGCCCGUCGGACGGCAGCACAGAGAAGCUUGCUUCUUGGGUGGCGCGUGGCGAACGGGUGAGUAAUAUAUCGGAACGUACCGAGUAAUGGGGGAUAACUAAUCGAAAGAUUAGCUAAUACCGCAUAUUCUCUGAGGAGGAAAGCAGGGGACCUUCGGGCCUUGCGUUAUUCGAGCGACCGAUAUCUGAUUAGCUAGUUGGUGGGGUAAAGGCCUACCAAGGCGACGAUCAGUAGCGGGUCUGAGAGGAUGAUCCGCCACACUGGGACUGAGACACGGCCCAGACUCCUACGGGAGGCAGCAGUGGGGAAUUUUGGACAAUGGGCGCAAGCCUGAUCCAGCCAUGCCGCGUGUCUGAAGAAGGCCUUCGGGUUGUAAAGGACUUUUGUCAGGGAAGAAAAGGCUGUUGCUAAUAUCAAUAGCUGAUGACGGUACCUGAAGAAUAAGCACCGGCUAACUACGUG
rnacentral:rRNA from 1 species